GCUUCAUAAAAUUCUGUUCCAUUGAACCAAUGAACACAAUUACGCCCCGACAUAAUUAAAAGCGAACCCAGCCAAAGGCAGCUGUGAGAAGGCAAAGAAAGAUAGGCAGGAAGGUGCUAUCCCUGGCUGUGACUCUGCAGUCGUGUGAGGGGAAGAAAGCCAGAGAAAUGGAAUGGGCUGAACUAGCAGAGAAACAUCGAGAAGGCUGACAAUUUUAGAACCGGAGACGGCUGACUAGCUAUUUACUCAUCCCAAAAAAGGACAGAAGAGCUCCUUGGCAUCGGAACCCUCCUGGUCCGGUGAGGGAGGGAUGAGGGUCGCUCGUGUAUGAGGAUACACGGCCAUCAUCCAAAACUUCCUAGUUCAGGUGGAAGGAAGAGGUUGGACCAGAACUUGGUAUCCGCGUUGCCCAAAAGAUGGUUCAGACGGUGUGAGUGAGUCACAGAAGAUGUGUCUAGGAGAUACUGUGGACUCAGUUCCAGACCAUCGCCAUAAAGCAAACAAUUCAAUAAACUGGAAGCAAAGGACUCCAAGAUGGGAAAAGCCACACAAUGGAGGGAUCCCAGCAUGCACCAGAUGUUCACAAAAUGACCACGUGGAUUGGAUCCCGUUCUCCAGAGGAUCCUAGCCUGAGAGACCAUAGGUAACAGAUAACACACUGACCAGGAGAGUUGCCCUGUAGAAUGCUUCAGAAUUUACUUGAUGUGUAAUAUGGGGCAAAUUCCUUGACUUGUCUUUAUCUUACUAGUACUGUUGUAUCAAAGAGAGAACUCAUGUUUAUCCUUUCUGACUUGGAGAAUUGUUGUGCAAAUCCGGUGAAUAAAAUAUGUGAAAUCUGGUUUGAAAAAGACAUAUACGUACCCUAACAUAGACGUCCAUGUUUUAAAAAGGCAGUCAGUGAAGGAGGGUUGGGGUGGCUCUGGCCGGGGUCAUGGCAGUUUCUACUGACAUCACAUUCAAGGGCAUAGUUUGCUUCUUUCUGGUGGCAGUUGACUGGUAUCCUCAAACAGACCCUACGGGGUAGCGUACCUGUGGGCUGUGGCACACCUGGAGGGAGAGCUGCUCUCGACGGAUGAGGACACGCUGACAUAGAGAGGUCGAGGGGGCAGUCCAGACCAGGUGACGUUUCCUCAGUGUGCACGAAUGCAGUACAACCAGACCAGGAACUGGGAUCAAAGUUUAGGAAGGAAAUCAACAUUUUAGUCAGAGGGUGGCUGGUUUCGGGGAGAGUGGGUAAGGCUCUGAAAAGGAAAACAAAUAGAUCUGAGGCCUCGUCGGGAUGUAGAAUAUAAGUGAAUAGGGGCAAGUGGUUCAGAACUAAGGUUUUAAACGGGGAAGGCACUGGAGGACCGGCCCACCUGCCAAGCUGGUCUGCAGGCUCCCUGUGGACAAGCGUCUUCUCGGUGGGCUGCCGGAUCCAGCUCCUGCUGGUGCUGAUUGUUAAAUCUUUAGGAAGUUUGCAAGCCAGUCGUUAAAGCGCUGGUAGCGUGUAAUCAGAGAGUGUGUGCUCUACGGAAACUGGCAAUGACUACAAAUCAGAAACUUUUCUUUCCCUGGUCAGCUAGUACUUUUUUAAAGUGUAUUUAUUUAUUUUGAGAGAGAUAGAGAGAGGGAGAGAGAGAGAGAGAAUCCCGAGCGGGCCCUGAGCUGUCAGUGCAGAGCCCAGUGUGGGGCUCGAACUCACAAAACGAGAUCGUGACCUGAGCCGAAAUCCAGAGUUGGAGGCCUAACUGGUUGAGCCACCCAGGCACCCCUCGAUAGCACAUUUUUUGGA